GCCCGGUUAGCUCAAUCGGCAGAGCGUGGGACUGUGAGUUAACCUGCUAAAAAAUUAACAAUUUAUGUUCUGUAACUAAUUCCAAACCCAGUUUAUCCAAGAAAGUACAAUCCCAAGGUUGCGAGUUCGACCCUCGCAUCGGGCG